UACGUAGGGUCCGAGCGUUGUCCGGAAUUACUGGGCGUAAAGAGCUCGUAGGUGGUUUGUCGCGUUGUUCGUGAAAACUCACAGCUCAACUGUGGGCGUGCGGGCGAUACGGGCAGACUGGAGUACUGCAGGGGAGACUGGAAUUCCUGGUGUAGCGGUGAAAUGCGCAGAUAUCAGGAGGAACACCGAUGGCGAAGGCAGGUCUCUGGGCCGAUACUGACGCUGAGGAGCGAAAACGUGGGGAGCGAACAGG
rnacentral:rRNA from 1 species